rnacentral:lncRNA from 1 species
AAAGGUUAAGCCAGUACAAGUUAAUAACACUAGAGGGCAUGAAGAUUAUUUGGCAUUGCCCGGUUUUAAAAGCUAAGGCCAGUCUGAGUUAAUAAAACUCGAGGGCAUGAAGCUUAUUUGGCAUUUCCCGAAUUUAAAGGCUAAGGCCAGUCCGAGUUAAUAAAACUCGAGGGCAUGAAGCUCAUUUGGUGUUGACCGAAUUUAAAAGCUAAGACCAAUCCAAGUUAAUAAAACUCGAGGGCAUGAAACUUAUAUGGCAUUGCCCGAAUUUAAAGGUUAAGGCCAGUCCGAUUUAAUAACACUAGAGGGCAUGAAGCUUAUUUGGCAUUGCCCGAAUUUAAAGGCUAAGGCCAGUUCGAGUUAAUCAAACAAUCGAGGGCAUGAAGCUUAUUUGGCAUUGCCCGAAUUUAAAGGCUAAGGCCAGUCCAAGUUAAUAAAACUCGAGGGCAUGAAGCUUAUUUUGCAUUGCUCGAAUUUAAAGGCUAAGUCCAGUCCUAGUUAAUCAAAAACUCGAGGGCAUGAACCUUAUUUGGCAUUGCCCGAAUUUAGAGGCUUAGGCAGUCCGAGUUAAUAAAACUCGAGGGAAUGAAGCUUAUUUGGCAUUGGCCGAAUUUAAAGACUAAGGCCAGUCCAAGUUAAUAAAACUCAAGGGCAUGAAUCUAAUUUAGCAUUGCUCUUAUUUAAAGGCUGGGUCUAGUUCGAGUUAAUAAAUCUCGAAGGCAUGAAGAUUAUUUGGCAUUGCCCAAAUUUUAAGGCUUAGGACAGUCCGAGUUAACAAAAUCCGAGGCAUGAAUCUUAUUUGGCAUUGCCGGAAUUUGAAGGUUAAGGCCAAUACGAGUUAAUAAAACUCGAGGGCAUGAAGCUUAUUUGGCAUUGCCCGAAUUUAAAGGCUAAGGUCAGUCCGAGUUAAUAAAACUCGAGGGUAUGAAGCUUAUUUGGCAUUGCCCGAAUUUAAAGGCUAAGGCUAGUACGAAUUAAUAAAACUCGAGGGCAAGAAGCUUAUCUGGCAUUGGCCAAAUUUAAAGGCUAAGGCCAGUCCGAGUUAAUAAAAACCGAGGGCAUGAAGCUUAUUUGGCAUUGCCCGAAUUUAAAGGUUAAGCCAGUACAAGUUAAUAACACUAGAGGGCAUGAAGCUUAUUUGGCAUUUUCCUGUUUUAAAAGCUAAGGCCAGUCCAAGUUAAUAAAACUCGAGGGCAUGAAGCUUAUUUUGCAAUGCCCAAAUUUAAAGGCUAAGGCCAGUCCGAGUUAAUAAAACCCGAUGGCAUGAAGCUUAUUUGGCAUUGGCCGAAUUUAAAGUUUAAGGC